UUAUUCUAAGGUUUCUUACAGUGUCUGACGUGUACAAAAAUCAAAUAACACGAUUAUAAGUAUAGGUUAGAUUAAUAUUGAAUUAAACAUCUUUUUUAUUAUUAAGAAAUCGUGCAAUUAUGCUCGACUUAUUUACCAUAUUCAGUAAAGGUGGUAUUGUGUUAUGGUGUUUUCAAAGUACCUCGCAAAUAUUUGCCCCAAGCGUUAACGCAUUAAUACGAAGUGUCAUAUUGCAAGAACGUUCGGGAAAUCAUAGCUUUGAAUAUGAUUCUUUACGCUUACAAUAUAAACUCGAUAAUGAGUUUGAACUAGUAUUUGUAGUUGCAUAUCAAAAAAUACUACAAUUGUCAUAUAUAGAUAAAUUUUUAAAUGACAUUCAUUUAGAAUUUAGAGAUAGAUUUAAAAAUGAAUUGGAGAAUUCCAAAUGGUUUUCUAACUUUGAAUUUCAAAGUAAUUAUGAACAUGUAUUAGCUAUGGCUGAACAAUGGGCAAGGACUCAGGCUAAAAUACCUAAACAAAUGCGUACCUUCGACGAAAGUCAAAAAUCAAAAAAGACUGUUGCCAGUAUGAUUGAAAGAAAAGAUGACAAAGAAAAUAAAAAACAAGUGAAAAUUCAAGAAGUUAUAAAGCAAGAUUUACAACAAAACAAUCGAGUAAAUCAUAAUGGAGAAAUAGAUGAAGAAAUUUUAAUCGCAAAUCGUAUGAAAUUGGCACAAAAAUUGAAUAAUCAAAAGAAGAAAGUUGAUAAGCAAAAAAGUCAAAAAAUUGAAAAAGCUGGCAAGAAACCUCGUGUUUGGGAAUUAGGUGGGACCAUUAAAGAUCUUGCUGCUUUAGAACGCACCAAAGAUAAACCAGAAGAGAGUGGUGAUUAUGUUGCAGCCGAUAAAACGUUAGUAGGUAAAAUGAAAGGUAGUAUUCGCGACAUAAUAGUUGAAAGUGAUUCCGAGGAUGAAUCUGAAGAAGAAAUGGAGAAUUCGAAACCACAAAUGCAAAAGAAAAGCAAUAGUUCAAUGUUUUCAAUGUUUAAGAGUUUGGUCGGUAAUAAAUGUUUGAAACACGAGGAUAUGGCUCCGGUUCUUGAUAAAUUGAAAGAUCAUUUGAUUUCGAAGAAUGUAGCAGCUGAUAUUGCUAAAAAGUUAUGUGAUUCCGUCGGUGUAAAACUCGAAGGAAAAAUACUUGGUACGUUCGAUAGCGUGACUAGUACCGUGAAAGCGACUUUGACCGACGCAUUAGUGCAAAUAUUAUCUCCAAAAAGGCGCGUAGAUAUUUUACGAGACGCAAUGGAAGCAAAGAAUAAUCAUAGACCUUACGUUAUGACUUUCUGCGGCGUGAAUGGAGUAGGAAAAUCAACAAAUUUAGCGAAAAUUUGUUUCUGGCUCAUAGAGAAUAAUUUCCGUGUGCUUAUCGCAGCGUGUGAUACAUUCAGAGCUGGUGCAGUUGAACAACUAAGAACGCAUAUGCGUCAUUUAAAUGCUCUUCAUCCACCGGAAAAACAUGGAAAUCAAUCUAUGGUUCAAUUGUACGAGAAAGGUUAUGGAAAAGAUGCUGCCGGUAUUGCUAUGGAAGCGAUACGUUUUGCCAAAGAUUCGAAAAUCGACAUAGUUUUGGUGGACACUGCAGGCAGAAUGCAAGAUAACGAACCUUUGAUGAGAGCUUUGGCCAAAUUAAUCAAAGUAAACGAGCCAGAUGUGGUGCUUUUCGUUGGCGAAGCUCUUGUUGGAAACGAAGCUGUUGAUCAAUUGGUGAAGUUCAAUCAAGCAUUAGCAGAUCAUAGUCAAUCUUCCAAUCCUCAUAUCAUUGAUGGCAUCGUAUUAACUAAAUUUGAUACAAUUGAUGAUAAGAAUUUGGUGCCCGCGCCGGAAAGAUCUAACGACAAAUAAUAAGAGACAAAUUUAAUAAUAAGACGAUGAUACAAGAAAGAUCGGUCAUAAUUUUUAAUCAAACUUGUAAGUUUUUUUUUUCAUAUUUUAAUUCGAGUUUCAUCGAAAUCAAUUCAAUCAAUCCAAUUGAAAAUACGUUCAUAUGUUUGUACGUAUGAUCGAGAUAAAAUUAAUGAUAUUAUAAUCACUAUGAUAUUUAUUCGUUAUAGUCUCGCGAAAUCAAAAGUGUCGAUUAACUAUUAAUCUUGAGUUACGAAAUAGAAGUUUACAUACCUCGUAAAGGGAAUAAUCAUAAGAAGCUUCAGUGGCAAGGGCAGCCAUCAAUGCGCCGAAAAUGCCACCCAGAAUACCGGGCAUUCCGUGGAGAUUAUGCACUCCACAAGUAUCGUGAAUCUUCAGAUGCUUUUGGAUCAGUGGCUAAAAAAAAAACGAAAAAUAAUUGCUAUAAAGAAAUUUUAUUUAAUUGAAUUAGAAAAAAGAAUCGUAAUUUUUGAAUUUUUAUUCUCUUUUAACAUCCUUGAUAGAAUAUAUUUUAAUAACGUUUAAUUUGACGUUCCUAUUUUUAAGUAUAUUAAACAUUGGAAUACGCUAUGGUACCGUGUUUCGUGAGGCGUUCACGCAUUCUGCCGAAAAUCGAAGUUUCGUAAGGAGAGGACUGUGCGGUUAAUAAUUCGUCUUGACGCGAAUCCUUUGGAUUAAUGACGUAUUCAUGUACCUAAGAGCUACACGGUAAAAUGAAUCGAUGCAACGAGUCUUGGAACUAUGUUUGUUUCGUAUAAUCUCGUCGAGUAUUUUGGAUCUAAACCAAAUACGAAUUUAUCUUAUCCCAAGUGAGCUACUUAUUUAUCCUCUGGAUUCUCGAACUUAAACGAGAUUUAAUAAAAUUCUUUUGACUGGUAGAAUCAAGCAGGAAGAAAGUAGGCCCGUCUGAUUCUUCGAUAAAUGAUACACGAACAUUUUCAUAAUGAACAAAAGCUCGUUCUGGUUUUCCGAAUAAAUUAUCACUGUCGGUAUGGAAAGAUUUCAUUUUAUAAAAAGGAAUAUACGUGUAAUGUAUCGCUCGAAUAUUCGGAUAAUCUAAAAGUUUUUUUUUUUAAAUAAAUUGAUUUAUUGAUAAAAUAAUAAACGAUAGGCAUUUAUCGGACGAUUGAUAUUAUAAGAAACAUAGGGAAGAAAUCGUGAAAAAAUCGAUGAUUUAACGCGAUUUAAUCUUCGCAUUCGAUCCCGUUAUCCGUAUGAACGAAAAUUUUUUUGCACAGCGAAAAAGUAAGAGUCGAAGGAAGCCGGAAGAAAGUAUAUAGAAGUGUAUAAAGAAUAUAGUAUUAUAGAAGACGGGUUAUAGAAGACGAUUUAUCGCGAAUGAAUCGUAUGGAUGAAAACUUUUGACCAAAACUUUUUUCCGUUUUAUCCGUUUUCCACGAAUCGUUCCGCUAAUCAUAUGGAAUUUAUUCGUUAUGUGAAGGAGAAAGAACUAUAAGAACUAUAAGAAAAGAAAGUGUUUAAGAAUACAUUCUAUUGUCAGAAUGUUCGAAGAUAUGAUUACUAAUUUAACGAAUGUUAUUUUUUUUUCCUUGUACGGAAAAGACUCGUGAUGCGCAUUUAUAACGAGAGCGAAUAAAAAGGAUGGAAUUACCGUGAUAUACUUGUAGCCGAGCACGCUGAGUAAUCCAGCCAGAGCGCCUACGACCAGAGUACCGACCGGUUGGCACAUCAUGCCUGUGUUUAUUUAGAAAAUGUCGACCGGUUAGACGCAUAGACGAGAUAUCGUACAAUGUAAAUCUCCGAUUAAUUAGAUCGUCUUGUACCUGCUGCGGUGCCGAUAGCUACACCGCCGGCCAACGUUGAGUUCUGUAUAUGCACCAUGUUGAAUUUACUAUCCUUGGAGACCAGGGCAGAGGUCGCGAAUGCGAUCACACAGCUGGCCGAGAUGGAGAGAAGGGUGUUUAUAAUGGCCCUUUGCUGAUCGUCUCCUUCGAGAGCGGCACUGUUGAACGAUGGCCAGAACAACCAUAGGAAUAUCGUACCUGUCGGGACAAACCAAGUUUUCUCCACAGUUUAUUCUCUUUGCUUCUCUCGCGAACACGUGUAAAUACUAUUUGCUCUUUGCGUUUCACGUCGAUCGUCGUCGUAUCUAUGUUUCAAUUUAUCGGAUCUCGGAACGAGAAAUGUAUUCGAGAAAAUUACUUCCAAUUGAAUUUCAAUAACGAAUCUUAAAUCUUCGCUUCAUCGAAAAUUUUAUUAUAUUUUUCUUCCCAAAAUUUAUCAUCUUUUUUUCAAUAUUUCUAGGUUAUAAAUAAAACAGAGAUCUAAGAACGAAAGGAUACAUGUAUAUAAUUGCGAGCAUAUAAAUAAAUGGGAAUUUUUAAUUAUAUAUAUGUAAGAAUGAAAAGUUCGAUUUUCUUAUAUUAUACAUCAUAAUACAGAAUAUUAUAAUGUAUAAUAUUAUAAUAUAUUGUGUUGUGUAUAAAAAAUGUAAAUUGUUUUUGUGCUAUUUAUAUGCACAAGUAUAAAUAAAUUAUAAAGAUUUUUCCUAUUUACGUAUAUUCCCGCUUCUGUAUAGAUAUCCUUCGUUUCGCGUAAACAUUUCGUUAAGGUACGAGUUAAAAUUUUGCAAAUUAUAAAAACAAACCAAUCAUGGCAAAAAUAUCGGAAUUGUAAGAUGGUCCUUCGAGAUGAUGCUCCUUAGGUUUUUCCUUCAUCCCGAAUACGAAACUAAUGGCAAGUCCAAAAUAUGCUCCGAAUGUAUGGACAAACAUGCUAUCACCAGCAUCGACGGUCUGUGAAAAAUUGUAUCAUAAAACAUAAUAAGACAAUUAUUCUAACAUGAAUUUUUUAUGAUAUAAUAUAUCUAUUCAUUAAUUAUCUAUUAACUUAUUAUUUAUAACAUAUCUGUUUCUUUUUUAUAAGUUGAUUACAAUUAAUUGUAAUUUUUAUUAUUGUAUCUCGCUCGAUCUAUCGAUCGAAAGAGAAUAUUGAAAACUAAAACAUUAUUUUUUUCUUCCUAUUGGCGAUUGCUUCGAAUUUUUAGAUAUAAUUUAAACACAUUUCUAAAAUAAAGAGAAGAAUUCUUGUUUCAUUUUAAUUUUCAUUCAAAUGUUUUCAUUUUACAGCAAUGAUAUUUUUAUCUUAUAAAUCUUAACAUGCGAUUCAAAUCAAGGUUUGUGCAAAUCAAGAAUUAAAAUUCAAAAUAAAAUCGAUGACAUCUCCACUUAAUCUUAAUAUCCAAUGGGUAAAUUAAAUUUUUAAUUUUGAUUCUCAGAAUUAUGACAUAUAUUAAAAAAAGUAUUUGUAAGUAUUUUGUAUACAUCUGAUUUUAUUGUAUACAUUUUCCUCGAUCAAAAGCUUGUUCGAUUUAACGUAAUAUAAUAUUUAUUUUAUAUCAAUCAACAAUUUUUCCUUUUGUUCUUUUUCUUUUUUUUUUUUUUCAUUUAUUUUCAUUUCAUAAAAAAUUUAAAAUUCUAUCCCGUUCGAUUUCUGCACCUCGCUCAUCGUUCAAUUUCGAACGUUUGUUUUCAGCGAUGCCCGAAAAUCGAGCGUGAUAAACAGUUUUUUGCCUUCAAGGAAGAAAGCGUAAACUUACCAUCAGCAGAUGCUCACCCACGUACUUGUUCACGGUGAACAUGAUCAGUUCAACGAUGCCCAUGAACACGAGCUGCAUAUAGGUCGUCUUACCGAGAAGAGCACCCAUGGAUAUCAACGGUGUGGCAACUGCAACAUCCGCGCUGAGCAGACUGAAAAUGAUCACAUGAUGGCAACUUGGACGAGAAUAGCACCUAGAAGGAAAGUGAGUCCAACAGCGCUCUGUCCGUAUCUCCUUAGAAACGUCAUUAGGAAGCCGAAUCCAAUCCAGAUCAUCACGUGGACAUCUUGAUACACUGAACCGUUUUAACGGUGGCCCGAAAUUGCACGUACGCAUAAAGGGAGAAGAGAGAAAGCUGUUUGUAAGAGCGCAUGCAUGACUCGCGUGCGGUUAAUCGAUUUGCUCGUUUAUUCGACCAGAUCAGUGUUAAUCGCUUGUUAAUUGAUCGGCUUCGUAAUUACAGCUCGGAUUCGAAUCGGAACUUCCUUUCGCGAAACGAAUAAUCCAAUUGUAUAAUACAUUUGUCGUUUAAAUAAUAAUCGUUCGAAACGAAUCUGAAAUGAGUAUUUGUAUUUGUAAUAUCGUAAUGGUGAUUCGUUCGCUCUUUUUUUUCCCGAUUAUAAUAUAUACGUAUAUAUUAUUUUUAUUACAGAUAGAUAAUUCUCAAUGCAAUUUUAAA